rnacentral:rRNA from 1 species
UACGGAGGGAGCUAGCGUUGUUCGGAAUUACUGGGCGUAAAGCGCACGUAGGCGGCUUUGUAAGUUAGAGGUGAAAGCCCGGGGCUCAACCCCGGAAUUGCCUUUAAGACUGCAUCGCUUGAAUCCGGGAGGGGUGAGUGGAAUUCCGAGUGUAGAGGUGAAAUGCGUAGAUAUCAGGAGGAACACCUGUGGUGUAGACAGCUUACUGGACCACUUCUGACGCUGAGACACGAAAGCGUGGGUAGCAAACAGG